AACGGUCUAUACCUGCGGUACCUGCGGAAGGAUCAUUAUCGAGUGCUGACCCCCCCGUAAAAAGGGGGGGUUACCUCCCGUCCUUUGCUAGGCACCCCCUUCUAUUUGGAAGGGGGUUGCUCUGAGAACCUUUCUGCUUCGGCGGGGUUACCUGCCGAAACAACCUCAAAUUCCAAGUCAAAACGGUUCAGUCCGAGAAACUUGAGAAAAAGCGAAAACUUUCAACAAUGGAUCUCUAGA
rnacentral:misc_RNA from 1 species